UACGUAGGGUCCGAGCGUUGUCCGGAAUUAUUGGGCGUAAAGGGCUCGUAGGCGGUUUGUCGCGUCGGGAGUGAAAACUCAGGGCUUAACCCUGAGCUUGCAGUGGGUACGGGCAGACUAGAGUGCGGUAGGGGAGACUGGAAUUCCUGGUGUAGCGGUGAAAUGCGCAGAUAUCAGGAGGAACACCGGUGGCGAAGGCGGCAUCCUGGACCAACACUGACACUGAGGAGCGAAAGCCAGGGGAGCAAACGGG
rnacentral:rRNA from 1 species